rnacentral:rRNA from 1 species
AAUAUUGCACAAUGGAGGGAACUCUGAUGCAGCGACGCCGCGUGAGUGAUGAUGGCUUUCGAUACGUAAAAUUCUUUCCUUGGGGACGAUAACGACGGUACCAAAGGGCGAAGCUCCUGCUAACCACGUGCCAUCAGCCGCGGUAAUACGCAGGGGGCGAGCGUUGUCCGGAAUUAUUGGGCGUAAAGGGUUCGCAGGCGGCCGAUUAAGUCAGAUGUGAAAUCCCACGGCUUAACCGUGGUAAGCAUUUGAAACUGAUUGGCUUGAGUUAAGGAGAGGAAAGUGGAAUUCCUAGUGUAGCGGUGAAAUGCGUAGAUAUUAGGAGGAAUACCAGUGGCGAAGGCGACUUUCUGGACUUAUACUGACGCUGAGGAACGAAAGCGUGGGGAGCAAACA